GCGGCAUUGAUGUAACAGCAAGCAUGCCUGUCUUCCAAACAGGGCGAGUCGGGGCAGCACCGACAUGCCGCACCA
rnacentral:tRNA from 1 species